CAUGCAGUCGAGCGGUAGCACAGGUGAGCUUGCUCCUUGGGUGACGAGCGGCGGACGGGUGAGUAAUGUCUGGGAAACUGCCUGAUGGAGGGGGAUAACUACUGGAAACGGUAGCUAAUACCGCAUAACGUCGCAAGACCAAAGAGGGGGACCUUCGGGCCUCUUGCCAUCAGAUGUGCCCAGAUGGGAUUAGCUAGUAGGUGGGGUAAUGGCUCACCUAGGCGACGAUCCCUAGCUGGUCUGAGAGGAUGACCAGCCACACUGGAACUGAGACACGGUCCAGACUCCUACGGGAGGCAGCAGUGGGGAAUAUUGCACAAUGGGCGCAAGCCUGAUGCAGCCAUGCCGCGUGUGUGAAGAAGGCCUUCGGGUUGUAAAGCACUUUCAGCGAGGAGGAAGGUGGUGAGCUUAAUACGUUCAUCAAUUGACGUUACUCGCAGAAGAAGCACCGGCUAACUCCGUGCCAGCAGCCGCGGUAAUACGGAGGGUGCAAGCGUUAAUCGGAAUUACUGGGCGUAAAGCGCACGCAGGCGGUUCGCUAAGUCAGAUUAUGAAAUCUCCGGGCUCACCCUGGGAACCGCCAUUGGGAGCUAGCAAGCUAGAUUCUCGUAGAGGGGGGGUCGAAUUGCAGGAGUAGCGGAGAAAUGCGUAGAGAUCUGGAGGAAUACCGGUGGUGAAGGCGGCCCCUCUGGACGAAGACUGACGCUCAGGUGCGAAAGCGUGUGGGAGCAAACAGGAUUAGAUACCCUGGUAGUCCACGCUGUAAACGAUGUCGAUUUGGAGGUUGUGCCCUUGAGGCGUGGCCUUCCGGAGCUAACGCGUUAAAUCGACCGCCUGGGGGAGUACGGCCGCAAGGUUAAAACUCAAAUGAAUUGACUGGGGGCCCGCACAAGCGGUGGAGCAUGUGGUUUAAUUCGAUGCAACGCGAAGAACCUUACCUACUCUUGACAUCCAGAGAACUUAGCAGAGAUGGAUUGGUGCCUUCGGGAACUCUGAGACAGGUGCUGCAUGGCUGUCGUCAGCUCGUGUUGUGAAAUGUUGGGUUAAGUCCCGCAACGAGCGCAACCCUUAUCCUUUGUUGCCAGCGGUUCGGCCGGGAACUCAAAGGAGACUGCCAGUGAUAAACUGGAGGAAGGUGGGGAUGACGUCAAGUCAUCAUGGCCCUUACGAGUAGGGCUACACACGUGCUACAAUGGCAUAUACAAAGAGAAGCGACCUCGCGAGAGCAAGCGGACCUCAUAAAGUAUGUCGUAGUCCGGAUUGGAGUCUGCAACUCGACUCCAUGAAGUCGGAAUCGCUAGUAAUCGUAGAUCAGAAUGCUACGGUGAAUACGUUCCCGGGCCUUGUACACACCGCCCGUCACACCAUGGGAGUGGGUUGCAAAAGAAGUAGUUAGCUUAACCUUCGGGAGGGCGCUACCAC
rnacentral:rRNA from 1 species